rnacentral:rRNA from 1 species
CUACCAUUCAGCGGGGGAUAGCUCGGGGAAACUCGAAUUAAUACCGCAUAUACCCUACGGGGGAAAGAAGGCCUCUCCUUGGAAGCUUUCACUGUUUGAUGAGCCUGCGUGAGAUUAGUUUGUUGGUGAGGUAAUGGCUUACCAAGACUACGAUCUCUAGCUGGUCUGAGAGGACGAUCAGCCACACUGGGACUGAGACACGGCCCAGACUCCUACGGGAGGCAGCAGUAGAGAAUAUUGGACAAUGGGGGCAACCCUGAUCCAGGCAUGCCGCGUGUGUGAAGAAGGCCUUAGGGUUGUAAAGCACUUUAGGUAAGGAAGAAAAGUUAAUUGUUAAUACCUUUUAACCGUGACAUUACUUACAGAAUAAGGACCGGCUAACUCCGUGCCAGCAGCCGCGGUAAUACGGAGGGUCCAAGCGUUAAUCGGAAUUACUGGGCGUAAAGCGCGCGUAGGCGGUGUGCUAAGUUGGGUGUGAAAUCCCCGGGCUUAACCUGGGAACUGCAUUCAAAACUUGCAUACUGGAGUACGGAAGAGGCGAGUAGAAUUCAUGGUGUAGCGGUGAAAUGCGUAGAUAUCAUGAGGAAUACCAAUGGCGAAGGCAACUCGCUGGUCCGUAACUGACGCUGAGGUGCGAAAGCGUGGGUAGCAAACAGGAUUAGAUACCCUGGUAGUCCACGCCGUAAACGAUGAGAACUAGCCGUUGGAUCCUUGAGGUUC